rnacentral:ncRNA from 1 species
AAUAAAACUAAGAUGGAGAGAAAAAUAUUUGACCUAUUAACUUCAGAGAGCCAACAGAUGGUGAAAGUUGGUGUUAAUAUAAAUAUAUAAUAAUCACUCCGGAGUUUCCAAGUAGAAAGACUUUUGUCUAGUAAACGAGGACGUCUACCAGCGGUAUUUGGUUAGGGUUAUAGUGGAUAUUUGUAUCUAGUUAUUUGAAGCUGACCUGAAAAAUGAGUGGCAGUUAGGUAUCUAACUGCAAAUAAGGUGGUAUCACGGAAUGUUAAUCUUUCGUCCUUAUA